rnacentral:rRNA from 1 species
CCUACGGGGGGCUGCAGUGGGGAAUAUUGCACAAUGGGGGAAACCCUGAUGCAGCGACGCCGCGUGAGUGAAGAAGUAUUUCGGUAUGUAAAGCUCUAUCAGCAGGGAAGAAAAUGACGGUACCUGAGUAAGAAGCCCCGGCUAACGACGUGCCAGCAGCCGCGGGAAUACGUAGGGGGCAAGCGUUAUCCGGAUUUACUGGGUGUAAAGGGAGCGUAGACGGCAGCACAAGUCUGGAGUGAAAUGCCGGGGCUUAACCCCGGAACUGCUUUGGAAACUGUGCAGCUAGAGUGCAGGAGAGGUCAGUGGAAUUCCUAGUGUAGCGGUGAAAUGCGUCGUUAUUAGGAGGAACACCAGUGGCGACGGCGGCUUACUGGACUGUAACUGACGUUGAGGCUCGAAAGCGUGGGGAGCAAACAGGAUUAGAUACCCGGGUAGUC